rnacentral:sRNA from 1 species
CGGCGGCGGUAGCCAGGCUGUGGUGGCGCGGGAUCUUGGGGGCCUCGGCGCUGACCAGGGGUGAGCACGGGCAGCCAGCUGAGACCGGGGUCAGGCGCAGCGGCGUGCCCAGUGCAGAGAGCUCCUCAGGGCUCAUCCCGCGCGUCUGUGCCUUUUAUCUCCCUGUGCAGGGACUGGGCGACCCUCCGUUCUGUUGCUGCCGGUGAGGCGGGAGAGCGCCGGGGCCGACACGCGCCCCACUGUCAGACCACGGAAUGAUGUGGCCCACAAGCAGCUCUCAGCUUUUGGAGAGUAUGUGGCUGAAAUCUUGCCCAAGUAUGUCCAACAAGUUCAGGUGUCCUGCUUCAAUGAGUUAGAGGUCUGUAUCCAUCCUGAUGGCGUCAUCCCAGUGCUGACUUUCCUCAGGGAUCACACCAAUGCGCAGUUCAAAUCCCUGGUUGACUUGACAGCAGUGGACGUCCCAACUCGGCAGAACCGUUUUGAGAUUGUCUACAACCUGUUGUCUCUGCGCUUCAACUCACGGAUCCGUGUGAAGACCUACACAGAUGAGCUGACGCCCAUUGAGUCUGCUGUCUCUGUGUUCAAGGCAGCCAACUGGUAUGAAAGGGAGAUCUGGGACAUGUUUGGAGUCUUCUUUGCUAACCACCCUGAUCUAAGAAGGAUCCUGACAGAUUAUGGCUUCGAGGGACAUCCUUUCCGGAAAGACUUUCCUCUAUCUGGCUAUGUUGAGGUA